ACACAUGCGUUUACAUUAUAGAUGGUGGCGAAACAGGACGGACUUAUGUGGCAGAAGGAAAUGGAUGUAGACUGUGUGUUUUGAAACCUGUGUCAUUGGUCUAUACCAAUUAUUGCAGUUGAGUGCAGUAAAGUGGAGUAUCACUAGAUGUGGUGAAAAUGGAUUUCACUAUCUAUCUUUGGAUAGCAUUCUUGUUCGUAUUCCUCUCAAUCGUAUAUUGCUGUUGGUGGUGCAAGAAAUUCCAUCGAGAUGUAGAAUCAGAGAACCAAUCAAGCAACCAGAUGACCAGAAGUAACAGCGACCACGAUUUUAGCUAUUGGGCCCAUGGGUGGCCUAUCAGCUAUAUAGACUACAAACAUCACGACCAUCAUGAUCAUCAUCACGGAAGUGAUAGUUAUCAGAAUUCACACGUGGGCCAUGAUACAAGUCACGUCCAUAGUCAUGAUUUGGCGUAAGAAGAAAUUCCAUCGAGAUAUUGAAUCCGAGAACCAACCAAAUGACGCGAAGUAUAACAA